rnacentral:rRNA from 1 species
UGAUCCUGGCUCAGGAUGAACGCUAGCGGGACGCCUAACACAUGCAAGUCGAACGGUUCUUCGGAACAGUGGCAAACGGGCGAGUAACACGUACCUAACCUGCCCUCGAGCGAGGCAUAACUGUGGAGACACAGCUAAUUCCUCAUACGAUCCAUAAAAUGAGAAUAUAUGGAUGAAAGGUUUACCACUCGAGGAGGGGGGUGCGGUCUAUCAGAUAGUUGGUGAGGUAACGGCUCACCAAGUCUAUGACGGAUAGCCGGUCUGAGAUGAUGUCCGGCCGCAAUGGGACUGAGACACGGCCCAUACUCCUACGGGAGGCAGCAGUGGGGAAUCUUGCGCAAUGGGCGAAAGCCUGACGCAGCGAUCCCGCGUGGAGGAUGACACCUUACGGGGCGUAAACUCCUUUUUUGGUGGAAGACGAAAGACGGUACACCAAGAAUAAAGGACGGCUAACUACGUGCCAGCAGCCGCGGUAAUACGUAGGUCCUAAGCGUUAUCCGGAUUUACUGGGCGUAAAGCGUCUGUAGCUGGAAAAAUAAGUCUGUUUUCAAAUACUGUGGCUCAACCAUAGAAAGGGAAUGGAUACUGUCUUUCUAGAGGUUAUUAGAGGUUAGUGGAAUUUCCGGUGGAGCGGUGAAAUGUGUUGAUAUCGGAAGGAACGCCAAAAGCGAAAGCAGCUAACUAUAAUAAACCUGACGGUCAGAGACGAAAGCUUGGGUAGCAAACGGGAUUAGAUACCCCGGUAGUCCAAGCCGUAAAUUAUGCUUGCUAGAUGUUUUCUCCAUUUUGGAGGGAGUGUCGUAAUCUAACGAGUUAAGCAAGCCGCCUGGGUAGUAUAUACGCAAGUAUGAAACUCAAAGGGAUAGGCGGGGGAACACACAAGCAGUGGAUUGUCUAGAUUAAUUGGAUAAUAAGCCAAAAAUCUCACCUAAACUUGACAUGUACUGUGUCCUAUGUGAAAGCAUAGUAGUCCGAGCAAUCGGACACGGUAUACAGGUGGUGCAUGGUCGUCGUCAGCUCGUGCCGCAAGGUGUCUAGUUAAGUCUAGGAACGAGCGCAACCCUCAUCUCUAGUUAGAAUGUCUAGAGAGACUGCUCGGGCAACCGAGAGGAAGGAGAGGAUGACGUCAGAUCCUCAUGCCCCUUACGUUUAGGGCUUCAUAGGCAAUACAAUGGGUGAUACAACGAGAAGCAAUACCGCGAGGUGGAGCAAAUCUUUAAAAUUAUCCUUAGUUCGGAUUGUAGUCUGGAACUCGACUGCAUGAAGUUGGAAUUGCUAGUAAUGGCGGGUCAGCUAUACCGCCGUGAAUAUGUCCCUGUUCCUUGCACUCACCGCCCGUCAAACCAUGGGAGUUG